rnacentral:rRNA from 1 species
UACGGGGGGGGCAAGCGUUGUUCGGAAUUACUGGGCGUAAAGGGCUCGUAGGCGGCCAACUAAGUCAGACGUGAAAUCCCUCGGCUUAACCGGGGAACUGCGUCUGAUACUGGAUGGCUAGAGUUUGGGAGAGGGAUGCGGAAUUCCAGGUGUAGCGGUGAAAUGCGCAGAUAUCGGGAGGAACACCGGUGGCGAAGGCGGGUCUCUGGGCUGACACUGACGCUCAUGCACGAAAGCGUGGGGAGCAAACAGG